rnacentral:rRNA from 1 species
GAUGAACGCCGGCGGUGUGCCUAAUACAUGCAAGUCGUACGCACUGGCCCAACUGAUUGAUGGUGCUUGCACCGGAUUGACGUUGGAUCACCAGUGAGUGGCGGACGGGUGAGUAACACGUAGGUAACCUGCCCCGGAGCGGGGGAUAACAUUUGGAAACAGAUGCUAAUACCGCAUAACAACAAAAGCCACAUGGCUUUUGUUUGAAAGAUGGCUUUGGCUAUCACUCUGGGAUGGACCUGCGGUGCAUUAGCUAGUUGGUAAGGUAACGGCUUACCAAGGCGGUGAUGCAUAGCCGAGUUGAGAGACUGAUCGGCCACAAUGGAACUGAGACACGGUCCAUACUCCUACGGGAGGCAGCAGUAGGGAAUCUUCCACAAUGGGCGCAAGCCUGAUGGAGCAACACCGCGUGAGUGAAGAAGGGUUUCGGCUCGUAAAGCUCUGUUGUUGGAGAAGAACGUGCGUGAGAGUAACUGUUCACGCAGUGACGGUAUCCAACCAGAAAGUCACGGCUAACUACGUGCCAGCAGCCGCGGUAAUACGUAGGUGGCAAGCGUUAUCCGGAUUUAUUGGGCGUAAAGCGAGCGCAGGCGGUUGCUUAGGUCUGAUGUGAAAGCCUUCGGCUUAACCGAAGAAGUGCAUCGGAAACCGGGCGACUUGAGUGCAGAAGAGGACAGUGGAACUCCAUGUGUAGCGGUGGAAUGCGUAGAUAUAUGGAAGAACACCAGUGGCGAAGGCGGCUGUCUGGUCUGCAACUGACGCUGAGGCUCGAAAGCAUGGGUAGCGAACAGGAUUAGAUACCCUGGUAGUCCAUGCCGUAAACGAUGAGUGCUAGGUGUUGGAGGGUUUCCGCCCUUCAGUGCCGGAGCUAACGCAUUAAGCACUCCGCCUGGGGAGUACGACCGCAAGGUUGAAACUCAAAGGAAUUGACGGGGGCCCGCACAAGCGGUGGAGCAUGUGGUUUAAUUCGAAGCUACGCGAAGAACCUUACCAGGUCUUGACAUCUUGCGCUAACCUUAGAGAUAAGGCGUUCCCUUCGGGGACGCAAUGACAGGUGGUGCAUGGUCGUCGUCAGCUCGUGUCGUGAGAUGUUGGGUUAAGUCCCGCAACGAGCGCAACCCUUGUUACUAGUUGCCAGCAUUAAGUUGGGCACUCUAGUGAGACUGCCGGUGACAAACCGGAGGAAGGUGGGGACGACGUCAGAUCAUCAUGCCCCUUAUGACCUGGGCUACACACGUGCUACAAUGGACGGUACAACGAGUCGCAGGCUCGCGAGAGUAAGCUAAUCUCUUAAAGCCGUUCUCAGUUCGGACUGUAGGCUGCAACUCGCCUACACGAAGUCGGAAUCGCUAGUAAUCGCGGAUCAGCAUGCCGCGGUGAAUACGUUCCCGGGCCUUGUACACACCGCCCGUCACACCAUGGGAGUUUGUAACGCCCAAAGUCGGUGGCCUAACCUUUAUGGAGGGAGCCGCCUAAGGCGGGACAGAUGACUGGGGUG